AACGAACGCUGGCGGCAUGCCUAACACAUGCAAGUCGAACGAGACCUUCGGGUCUAGUGGCGCACGGGUGCGUAACGCGUGGGAACCUGCCCUUAGGUUCGGAAUAACCCUCCGAAAGGGGUGCUAAUACCGGAUAAUGUCUUCGGACCAAAGAUUUAUCGCCUUUGGAUGGGCCCGCGUUGGAUUAGCUAGUUGGUAGGGUAAAAGCCUACCAAGGCGACGAUCCAUAGCUGGUCUGAGAGGAUGAUCAGCCACACUGGGACUGAGACACGGCCCAGACUCCUACGGGAGGCAGCAGUGGGGAAUAUUGGACAAUGGGCGAAAGCCUGAUCCAGCAAUGCCGCGUGAGUGAUGAAGGCCUUAGGGUUGUAAAGCUCUUUUACCCGGGAUGAUAAUGACAGUACCGGGAGAAUAAGCACCGGCUAACUCCGUG
rnacentral:rRNA from 1 species